rnacentral:rRNA from 1 species
CAGUAGCCGCGGUAAUACGAAGGGUGCAAACGUUGCUCGGAAUUAUUGGGCGUAAAGCGCACGUAGGCGGCUCCGCAAGUCGGAUGUGAAAUCCCUCGGCUUAACCAAGGAAGUGCAUCCGAAACUGCAGAGCUUGAGUACUUAAGAGGAUCGCGGAAUUCCCGGUGUAGAGGUGAAAUUCGUAGAUAUCGGGAGGAACACCAGUGGCGAAGGCGGCGAUCUGGGAAGAUACUGACGCUGAGGUGCGAAAGCGUAGGGAGCAAACAGGAUUAGAUACCCCCGUAGUCCCUGUCUCUUAUAA